CCUUUCGUCCCUCCCACGCCUAAGGUCCAGGUCCCAGGGCUUUCCCUUGCACCUUCAUCCCUGGCCCUGCAGAGGCCUGCUUCUCGCUUCCGGGGUCGCCAGAGCGCCCCUCCCGCCACCCCGCCAUCUCUUGGCCGGAUCGUGCGAGAGAAGGGGAGGAGGUCUGGGGUUUCCAGAGUCCGCGGUUUUGCUAAGAAGCCGCAGUGAUGUUGACGCGGCUGGUCCUCAGUGCACACCUGAGUAGCACGACCUCUCCGCCCUGGACGCACGCUGCCAUCAGCUGGGAGCUGGACAACGUGCUGAUGCCUAGUCCCAGAAUCUGGCCCCAGGUGACUCCAACAGGCAGGUCUGCCUCUGUCAGGAGUGAGGGUAACACCUCCUCACUCUGGAAUUUCUCAGCUGGGCAGGAUGUGCAUGCCAUAGUAACCAGAACCUGUGAGUCUGUGCUGAGCUCUGCCGUCUACACCCACGGCUGUGGCUGUGUGAGGUCUGCCACAAACAUUACCUGUCAGUCCUCAGGACAACAAAGGCAGGCGGCCCGGCAGGAAGAGGAGAACUCAAUCUGCAAGGCCCAUGAUAGUAGAGAGGGCCGCCUGGGCUACCCCCUCAGUGCCCAUCAGCCUGGUUCCGGUGGUCCUAACUAGCCCUGUCUCCUUGCCAAUAGCCCUGUGCUCCCCAGCCCCCUCCCCCAUGCAGACGGCUGCUAUGACAUCCCUGUUCCUUAAAGUGCGGGGUUCCUCGCUGCCUUCUCCUCCCUAACUGGCACCCUGUGCAAACCUGCUGCAGAGAACAGUGUCUUGGGCAGUGCGAUAGUCCUCCAGUUCACCAACAGUAAAAAUGGUCUCAAUGGGGAGAGAUGUCUGACUGCAAGCGCUGAGUCCUUCCAGAGGAGGGCUGGAGGGACAGGAGGGCGGAUCAGGUGGCCUCCUGAGCUGGUUCCUGGCGCCGAUGUAAUGGAUGCUGAUUACCAGCGGUGAGGGCAUCGUGGAAGGGACUGCAGAGGUGUGCGAGAUGAGUGGAAUGAGGCCCCAGGUGCUGAUUUUUAUGCCCAGGAUGCUCCUGGCUGUCAUGGGCUCCCAGGGGCUCCAGGCAUGCACAGCUCUUCCGCCUCUUCUCGAAGCAGAAUGCCCCAGAAAGGGCACCUUUACUAUCCAGGGUGGCUAGAGUCGCCGGUGGCUGUGCGUGGGGGCUGAGGGCUAGAAUCAGGGCAAGGGGCUUUCAGUGAAACGCAGAGCCAGGCAGGGACAGCGCGGAUCUCAGAACAGUCUUUGUCAGAUGGGACACUUCAUCCCCGCGGAGCUGUCCGUGCACACAGCGUUCUCUGAUUGCCAAGCUGUUAAGCACUCUGCGGAAGGGAGCUGCUGGGAAGGCGGACGAGGCAUCUCAGGUGGGUGAGGGGCUCCGCUGCAUCAGCGUUGCUCAGACCCACCAUCCCUGGGGAGCUGUCACUGACGCCCAGGUUUCCCCUUCUCAGUACAUCCUGUGCCUCCUUUCUGGGCUGCCUCAGUCCCUCAAAGGGGAGCUCCCCACAUGGGUGGGAUUAUUGUUGAGAACAGUCAGGGUGUUGACGAGGAUGCAGGACUGAGGUUGCUCCCAGAGUCACUCAGUGUCCCUCGUUUUGCUCGGAGACAUCCUGACCUGGGCAAGCUCUUUAGGGAGCAUCUUUCCUGUCUGUGCCGCAUUCUCCAUGGCCUUUGCACUCUUUUUGCUUUUGUUUUAAACACGUCAUCAAUUCAUUGCCUGCAGCAGCUUGUACUGCCUUUUGGUUUUUCUUUGCAGAACAGCUCUGGAAGUGAAGUGUGUGUGUGUGUGUUUGCGUGCACUACUCUGGACUGGGUGCCUUACACGUGUUAACACACUUGAUCAGCUCAGCAACACUGUGGAAUAAGUGUAAUGUGUCCAUUAUUCAGAUCAGGAGACUGAGAUUCAGAGCAGGGAGGGAACUUGCCAGAGACCACAUGGCUUGCAAGCAGCAGAACCUGGGUUUGAACUGACAGCGGCCUGACUUCAGAACCCACGCUUUCCCACCCUCCUACUUCACACCCAUUUGAGUCCAGCCAUCUUGGUUCUGAAUCAUAACCCUGACUCUCCUGGCCACAUCCUAUGCUCCACAUUACAUGUUACUCUACAGGUUACCACCCUGGGUCUCUUUCCUAUAUAAGAAAUAGAAAUAUUUGUGGAAAUCCUAAUGUUCAUGACAUCUCUGCCAUUUUAUCAGGAAAAAUUCUAUCCUACCAAAUACUGGUAUAAUGUACUUGGCCCCCCUGGAUUGGAUUGGUAUAGGUUAAGAGCAGAUAUAAGGUCUGAAAUAAUCCCGGUAUUCCUAGUAUGUGGAAUUAUUAUCAUGGAAUCAUAAUGGCAGUUUGCACCUCUGUUGGGCUCUUUCAACUCCUGUGUUGGCUCAGGAGAAUCCUAUCACAUUAGUCCCCUUUUGUAGUUGGAUAGUUGGGCUUGCCAGAAGGCACACAAAUUUGGGUUAACUCAUUUCCAGGAUUCUGGCAUUGUAGACACAGAAACACCGACUGUGAAGUUUUAUGUAAUACAAACACUGGGAGAUUUAGCAAUAGGCCUGCCAGGCGGCCCUGGCUUCUGGCUGCACAACAAAGGGGGGUGGCUGGUGCUGAAUGGGGCAACAGAAGGUGAGUUUGGGGCCUGCAGAGCCUCGGGUAGCCCAGAGGAGCGAGAGAGUAUUGGCUGUUCAUUUUAACUCCAUCCUUGGAGGAUUCCCCACCACAAGCCUAAGGAAGUAAUAAAACCUCAUGCAUUAUUUUUUGAUAUCUGGAGAGAAACACGUACCCUAGAAAUGCUGUGGACUAAUUCCAUGGUUACUUUGUCAUUAAAGAAACCAAAAUACUGAGAGGUCACCAUAAACACAAAAAGGCAGAGAGAGAAGGAUUAAAUGGUGUUUCAUGUAAGGAUCUUUAAAGGGAGACAGAAUUCUAGUCUGAAAGGAGCGCAGGCAGAUCUGGCAUUUUGCUUGGGGAGUUCAAUUCUUUGGAGAAAAUACAGAGACAAAAAGACCAUUUUGAUGGUAUUUAAAAUAUCCCUCUGCCCAGUGUAUCUAAGUGAGUCUAAAUAUAUUCAGCAAUUUUUUAAAGGGCAGAUAUUAGGCCCGAUUCAAGGUAUGGAAUAUAGAUUCGAAAGGGUUAGUGAUAGGUGAGUGCCUUUCAGGUAGCUUUGCAUCACAGACCAAGCCCAUUAUUGAGGACUGUACGUAUGGAGCAGGCCCGUGAGCUUGUGACUGAGUUUCCCAACCUGCCAGGCUCCCAUUUGCUUAGGAUGAAUAUUUUUCUGCCCUCCCUGGUGAGCCACUGUGGGCCACUCGCCACUCCUUACACCCCUUCCCUUUAAUACCUCGCUUGGCUUACUUGCAAAAUCCACAUGCAUCCUCCUGGAUCUCACAGAAGAUGUAUGAAAAGUCAUGGCCAUGAAAAGGGCACGGAAAUCAAAUUAAUUAAUUUUGCUUUUUCCCCACGUUUGUUUCUGUCUGUCUGGUACUUUUCCUUUUUAAGCCUGCCAUCUCUUUGAAAGUGAGCCGCACAGUGAUAAUCCAUUUUCUUCAUUGUAACCCCACAGUGUAUGUAUUCCACAUUAAAUAAUAAAAGGGAUUAAUAAUUAAAUCAAAAUGAAAAACCA
rnacentral:lncRNA from 1 species